GUGGGGAAUCUUAGACAAUGGGCGCAAGCCUGAUCUAGCCAUGCCGCGUGAUCGAUGAAGGCCUUAGGGUUGUAAAGAUCUUUCAGUGGGGAAGAUAAUGACUGUACCCACAGAAGAAGCCCCGGCUAACUCCGUGCCAGCAGCCGCGGUAAUACGGAGGGGGCUAGCGUUGUUCGGAAUUACUGGGCGUAAAGCGCACGUAGGCGGACCGGAAAGUCAGAGGUGAAAUCCCAGAGCUCAACUUUGGAACUGCCUUUGAAACUCCUGGUCUUGAGGUCGAGAGAGGUGAGUGGAAUUCCGAGUGUAGAGGUGAAAUUCGUAGAUAUUCGGAGGAACACCAGAGGCGAAGGCGGCUCACUGGCUCGAUACUGACGCUGAGGUGCGAAAGCGUGGGGAGCAAACAGGAUUAGAAACCCUGGUAGUCC
rnacentral:rRNA from 1 species